rnacentral:rRNA from 1 species
UACGGAGGGGGCUAGCGUUGUUCGGAAUUACUGGGCGUAAAGCGCACGUAGGCGGCUUUGUAAGUUAGAGGUGAAAGCCCAGGGCUUAACCCUGGAAUUGCCUUUAAGACUGCAUCGCUUGAAUCCAGGAGAGGUGAGUGGAAUUCCGAGUGUAGAGGUGAAAUUCGUAGAUAUUCGCAAGAACACCAGUGGCGAAGGCGGCUCACUGGCCCGAUACUGACGCUGAGGUGCGAAAGCGUGGGGAGCAAACAGGAUUAGAAACCCCGGG